rnacentral:rRNA from 1 species
AGUUAACGUUGGCGGCGUGCCUAACACAUGCAAGUCGAACGCGUCCUAAGGGCAACUUUAGGAUGAGUGGCGAACGGGUGAGUAUCACGUGGGUAAUCUUCCUUCAAGUGGGGAAUAAGCUCUCGAAAGGGAGUCUAAUACCGCAUGACAUUCCGGGACACAAGUCCCGUAAUCAAAGCCGCAAGGCGCUUGAAGAUGAGCCUGCGUCCUAUUAGCUAGUUGGUGGGGUAACGGCCUACCAAGGCUUAGAUGGGUAGCCGGCCUGAGAGGGUGAACGGCCACACUGGGACUGAGACACGGCCCAGACUCCUACGGGAGGCAGCAGUGAGGAAUUUUGCGCAAUGGGGGAAACCCUGACGCAGCGACGCCGCGUGGAGGAUGAAGGCCUUCGGGUCGUAAACUCCUGUCAGAGGUGAAGAAUACCGCAAGGGUUUGACGGUAACCUCAGAGGAAGCCCGGCUAACUACGUGCCAGCAGCCGCGGUAAAGUCACGUCG